rnacentral:lncRNA from 1 species
UCCCAUCAUGUAUUUAUAGGUUACAAGUCCAAUUUUUAGCUUAGAAGGAAAUCCAAUCCCAUUUGGAGUCAAAAAAGUGUCAAAAUUCGCCCCAAAAUGCGUCCAAGCUUGACUAGGCCCUUCCCCAGCGCCCCGGCGCUGGGCACGGCCUUCUAGCGCCCCGACGCUGGAAAUGGCCUUGGUUUGGGCGCCCCCGCGCUGGAACAUUUUUUGAAAUUUUCUGCUCUGACGUCUUUUGGGAAAAUGACCAUAACUUAUUCGUCCGAACUCUGAUUUCGAUGAUUCAAGAUGUUCCGGAAAGAGGAGACGUAUAUCUACAACUUUCAUUCUUUGAGUUUUUCGAAAUAAGGUCUGAAGAAAUACUGAAAUUGGCUCUGAAGUGGAUGCUAUGUAAAUAGCAAGCCGAAAACGCGAAUCUAG